AAAGUGACAAACACGAUCGGUUCUGAUGGGAAGCAGCCGUCAGAAGUAAAGGGGAAAGUUUGGUGCAAGUCCAACGCUGUCCCGCAACUGUAAGUCAAUUUCAGAUUGAUCAGCCAGGAUGCCCGCCGAUUUCUCAAGGUUCCU
rnacentral:ncRNA from 2 species